AACGAACGCUGGCGGCAGGCUUAACACAUGCAAGUCGAACGCAUCCUUCGGGGUGAGUGGCAGACGGGUGAGUAACGCGUGGGAACGUGCCCUUCAGUUUGGAAUAACCCAGGGAAACUUGGGCUAAUACCGGAUACGCCCUAACGGGGAAAGAUUUAUCGCUGAAGGAUCGGCCCGCGUCUGAUUAGCUAGUUGGUGAGGUAAAGGCUCACCAAGGCGACGAUCAGUAGCUGGUCUGAGAGGAUGAUCAGCCACACUGGGACUGAGACACGGCCCAGACUCCUACGGGAGGCAGCAGUGGGGAAUAUUGGACAAUGGGCGCAAGCCUGAUCCAGCCAUGCCGCGUGAGUGAUGAAGGCCUUAGGGUUGUAAAGCUCUUUCGGCGGGGACGAUAAUGACGGUACCCGCAGAAGAAGCCCCGGCUAACUUCGUGCCAGCCGCCGCAGUAA
rnacentral:rRNA from 1 species